AUGCUUGCCCCUCGGUAUUUAGUUUCGCAGGCAACAAUGGUUUCUAUGGAUAUUCAAUAAAAUAUUUCCAAACAAAAACAUAUAUUAAUUUUGUUAAACUAGCAAUGGGUCGAACUUGUGUUGUUUCGGGAUGUAAAAGCAGACAAAAGGAUCCCGUGUCCUUUUUUAAAUUUCCUGAAAAUUCGAAACUGUUUAAUGCGUGGGCAGAAUUUUGCAACUCGCCGGAACUACUCGCGAAGGUGAACCACUCAAAGAAGAUUGAAAGAUAAUUCUGUACCAACGAUUUCGACUGACGUUAUAGAGAAUGGUGCGAUAGAAGCUACUAUAGAGAACUCGAAUGUUGUUGAAAAUAAGGUUCAACUUGGCUUAGACGGGAAUGCAGCGCAUUACAAUAUGUCGGAACCUAUAACCAGUAACAUCAGUAAACUACUGUUCACUGAAGGUGACCUUUUUAUCCAACUUUUGUGAUUAAUAUGAUUCUAAAAUUAU